AGUGAGUGACUGAGGGCCUGCACAGCUUCUGAAAUAUUGCUUGUAGAGAUGACCCUUAAGGCAGCAUGCUGAGGUCAAGGUGUGUUGACAACCAAAAUCAGAUGAGGCCUGAGUCAGGUAAAUCCAGUGAUUUAUGUACUUUCAAGGGAAAGCUCCACUUGCCUUUCUUUAACCGUAGGUGUAAGGAAGGGUAGAUCGUGGGAGACAGGGUUUCAUCAUUACUAUUACCUGAAGUUUGUGGAUGGCUAGCUGAGGCUCGAACAGAUUAAAGUUUGAAGGGAGGAAGUACUGUGAACAUGAUUUUCAAAUGCUUUUUGCCCCUUGCUGCCAUCAGUGUGGUAAGUUUUACAUUCAGGUGAAAUAUUUCACACUGAUCACAAAUGGGAAGUCAACAUAUGUUGCUGGGGGAAGAUGUGCAGCCCUGUUGUAUCUCCUCUGGGAGGUGGCCCCACACAGCUGAACUUCCAGAAUGAACUUCAGUGAAUUUAGGGAGCUGCAUUUCCUAAAGGUCGUCAAACAGUAGAUUUUUUAAAAAAGGUUGCAUUAUUUGCAUGAGUAGUUUAACUGUUCAUCCAGUGACUCAAUGAGCAGCCCAUUCAUGAGCUCCUGAUUUUCUGCAUCCACAUGCAUGUACUCACAUGCAUUCCUUCUCACGCAGCUGGAACUCUCUCACAAGUCUUAAUCUGUUUUGACGGUUGUAACCUAUCCGUGUUCUCCUCCUCUACAGAAGCAGAGGCAGUCUGUCAUCUAGUGAUAACACCAGCUUUCCAUUUUUGACACAAAUUCCUUUAAGGCUUCAGCAUCUGUUGUCUACCCUGCGUAACACUGAGGGCUGCAUUUUAUUUGCUGCUAGUGAGUAAAUGCUUGCACGUCUGCUACGCUGUAAUCAACUGCAAAUUUUCUUUUACACCACAUUUUCUGUGUGUGACAUAUUUUGCUUGGUCAGGGUUGAGAAGUCAUUACUGUACCCUUGCUUGAUCAGGUCUGGAAGCUCUUAUGUUUCUGAGGCACCUGGGCAAGCUGCUACAACUUUUGCUUAUCUUAGUAAGGGCUUUCCCUUGUGCAGAGGGAGGGAUCGGAUGCUGGAAGGAGGGGAAGCAGAUGUUCUGGACCUUUGGAUUUACAGCUGCAGAUUUGAACAAGCAGGGGAAGAGGAAGAAAGAGCUCAGUGGUGAUAUCUGAGUGAACCUGAAGUGUGUGACAAACCAGAAGGAACUGCUUUGUUCCUUCUACAGUCCAGUCACUUCCCAAGUGUGAGGGACCUUUGUGUUCCUUCAGUUACUCUGCAUUCUCCCUCCUUUGUUCCCUUCCUGCUCUUGUGUGCCACAGCUUCCCCUUCUCCUUUCCUGCUCUUGGCCUGGUAAGGACUACUGUGAAUCCUCCUGUCUAAACCCUUGAAACACUACUCUUCCUGCACACCAGCAUUGUCCAUACAUGGCAGAGAUCUGCUCCUCUCCUGUCUCUGAUCUGCUCCUGGCUUCCCUUUGGUGAGUUUGGCAAAGGGGACUUCACCUCUGCAGCACUCAGAGAGACCAGAAACUCUUCUGGCCUCUGGCAGGUUUAUGAAGGAGCUACACACCAUGUAUCUCUAGGACUUUUCCUGCCCAUCUGACACAGCUCAUUAGUUUUUGCUGCUUCUAACUCCUCGUAGCACCAGGUCUAUUAAAACCUCGUCAGUUUUGUGUACUGACUUGUUCCAACAGACGAGUUAAAAGAAAGUGAAUUUGCUGGAGGGUGUGACUGGCUGGCUGGACCUCCUCCCAGGUCACUGCUCACUUACCUGCAGUGGUCCAUGGAUCCUGCCUGGAACGAGGCUUUUCCAGUUUUCGAAUUUAGUGAGAGUAGCCAAAAUCAACAGGGCUGUAGUCAGCAGUUAUGCCUCAAGCUUUCCCGACACUUCUAGAAACCAUCCAAUUUUAUUCUUGAAAAGCUGUGACUUCAUGGGAAUGCCACAGACUUGCAUGCUAGACUUCAUUUCCUUCAUAUCUGUUAUCUGCCUGAUCACUUCUCUUUGACAGCUGUUUUGUAGGCUUUUUAGCUGCUGAUUUUGUAGGCUUUUUAGGGCCAGGAUUCAGCCUUUCGCAGCACCGGGAAGCUGAACUCCCGACAUAUUUUAGGUGGUGUUAGCACUGCUCAGAGGCCUUGGCUGCAACGCGGAUGCGGAGAACCACGUCCAUGCUUGGCAUGGCUGUGCAGUAGUGAAUAUGAAGUGGUAGUUUUCUCACUUUUUCAGUGCCUCACAGGACAGGACUAUGUGGUAGAUCAGCAAUUGGUAUGCGUGUUAGAUUUACUAUUUAGCAAGUGCAUUGUCCUACUGUACCUUUGUAUUUUGACUCCAGCAGUUUUCUUGCAGUAGGGUCGAAGCCACCCAGACUCAGUUCUGUUGUGCUUUGAGUAUGGAGCCCCUUCAAGGCUUGAUUAUAGACCUGGCAGAGUAGAAGCCAAGCUUUGUGAAUGACAAUUCCAAAAUGUCCUUUUCCGGAAGAAGGGAGAGGCAAAAAUGGUGACAUAAUUCUAGUGAUUCAGCUGCAGGCAUCUUAUAGCUUGGUGUAGCAUGGUAUUUUACAUACUGUUACUGUGUUUCCUACAGGUGAGUUCAUUAUUGGUCGUGUUAUUAAAGCUAUGAACAACAGUUGGCAUCCAGAUUGCUUCUGCUGUGAUAUCUGCCACAAAGUAUUGGCAGAUAUUGGAUUUGUCAAGAAUGCUGGCAGACAUCUCUGCCGUUCUUGCCAUAACAAGGAAAAAGCCCGAGGCCUGGGAAAGUACAUUUGCCAGAAGUGCCAUGCCAUUAUUGAUGAACAACCUCUCAUUUUCAAAAAUGAUCCUUAUCACCCUGAUCAUUUCAACUGUGCAAACUGCGGGUAACUUGAGUUCCACAAAAGAAAACAGGAGAAUGCUGGUUUUAUUUGCUUCUCCCAUUUCCAUUUUAAAGUGGAAACCAGUACCGUACAACAGGCAGAAGGGAUGAGUUCUGAGUGCCUUGCUGCUAGAUAUGUGUGUGGCUACAUCUCUUGGGGUGGUAGAGUUGCACCUCCCAUUCAAACAACAGGUGAUGUGUUGGGGAGUGAUGAAAGACAAACUUGCUUAUGGCAGCAAGAAGACUGACAUUAUUUUUCUGCUACAAAGGGUUGAAAAGUGGUCAUCUUCAGCUGCUUCGGUCAUUAUCUUGCCUACGUUCUUUCUUUUUAGUUGAGUUGCCCAAAGUAUGUUUUUCUCUUAAGCUUUCCCUCACCUCGUUUUGUCAGCUUCUGCAGCUGCAGACUAUGUAGCUGCAUGUUUCUACAUCCCCCACUGAUGCAUGGAUCGGGGGCACUGUACGAUAUAGCACACGUUGUUAGUUGUUUAUUUUUUGGUACAAAGGAAGCUGUCGUUUCAGUAUCAUAGCAGAGGCUGAUUUGAAAAACAACCUGUAGUUUUGUGUCAGUGCUGUUGUCAGCUUGGAUUUUUCUUGCUCUGAUGUUUGAUAUCAUGGGGAAAAUGCAGAGGACUGCAUUUUCCUUUCGGUUACAUUUCUGUAAAUCUAAAAGAAACUGGUGCUAAGAGAGCCAGAAUAUAAGGCAGGCAUGGCUACAGCUUUCUAACCUGUUUGAGGAAAGUUCAGUCGCUGUUUUCAGAGAGAUCUGAUGCAUCCUACCUAGCAGGCUUUUCUCAGUUUACUGUGGAGUCAAUCA
ensembl:lncRNA